CUACGGGGGGCUGCAGUGGGGAAUAUUGGACAAUGGGGGAAACCCUGAUCCAGCAAUGCCGCGUGUGUGAAGAAGGCCUGCGGGUUGUAAAGCACUUUCGGUUGGGAGGACUGCUUCUAGCACUAAUAUUGUUGGAAGUUGACGUUACCUUCAGAAGAAGCACCGGCUAACUCCGUGCCAGCAGCCGCGGUAAUACGGAGGGUGCAAGCGUUAAUCGGAAUUACUGGGCGUAAAGCGCGCGUAGGCGGCUAGAUCAGUCGGGUGUGAAAGCCCCGGGCUUAACCUGGGAACUGCAUCCGGUUCUGUCUAGGUUUAGUACAGGGGAAGGGAGGUGAAUUCCAAAUGUAGGGGUGAAAUGCGUAGAUAUGGGGGGGAACACCAAUGGCGGAGGGAGCCCCUUGGCCUGAUACCGACGCUGAGGUUCGAAAGCGUUGGGAGCAAACAGGAUUAGAUACCCCUGUAGUC
rnacentral:rRNA from 1 species